AUUGAACGCUAGCGGGAUGCCUUACACAUGCAAGUCGAACGGCAGCACGGACUUCGGUCUGGUGGCGAGUGGCGAACGGGUGAGUAAUGUAUCGGAACGUGCCUAGUAGCGGGGGAUAACUACGCGAAAGCGUAGCUAAUACCGCAUACGCCCUACGGGGGAAAGCAGGGGAUCGCAAGACCUUGCACUAUUAGAGCGGCCGAUAUCGGAUUAGCUAGUUGGUGGGGUAACGGCUCACCAAGGCGACGAUCCGUAGCUGGUUUGAGAGGACGACCAGCCACACUGGGACUGAGACACGGCCCAGACUCCUACGGGAGGCAGCAGUGGGGAAUUUUGGACAAUGGGGGAAACCCUGAUCCAGCCAUCCCGCGUGUGCGAUGAAGGCCUUCGGGUUGUAAAGCACUUUUGGCAGGAAAGAAACGUCAUGGGUUAAUACCCCGUGAAACUGACGGUACCUGCAGAAUAAGCACCGGCUAACUACGUGCCAGCAGCCGCGGUAAUACGUAGGGUGCAAGCGUUAAUCGGAAUUAUUGGGCGUAAAGCGUGCGCAGGCGGUUCGGAAAGAAAGAUGUGAAAUCCCAGAGCUUAACUUUGGAACUGCAUUUUUAACUACCGAGCUAGAGUGUGUCAGAGGGAGGUGGAAUUCCGCGUGUAGCAGUGAAAUGCGUAGAUAUGCGGAGGAACACCGAUGGCGAAGGCAGCCUCCUGGGAUAACACUGACGCUCAUGCACGAAAGCGUGGGGAGCAAACAGG
rnacentral:rRNA from 1 species